rnacentral:rRNA from 1 species
AUGGCCUUCGCUGGGCGUGAUGCCACCUACUUCCUCAAGUACAAGAUUGUCUUCUUCGGCACACCAGUAGGCCAUUAUGAUGGACUUGUUUCCUUCAUGAAUCUGACACUCUCCAACUUGCCCCCUCCCUUCGCAUCACUGACCAGCUCCAAAUUUGCCUCCAAGAGGCUGAUUGCCGACGAGAUGGUCACCCUCUCUAGUGCACACGCCAUUGGAAUGUCCCAUUCCUCCUCCUUCUCCUCAUCCUUCUUCGACUACCUCAACGCAAGCACCUCUGACAUGGACCCCACACUAAUGAGCUCUCUCCUGGAGCAAUGCAGGCCAGACAUAGGAAGUGACAACAUGGUGGUGCAAGAUGUCAAGACCCCUAACAAGAUCGAUAACAAGUACUACAAUAAUAUGUUUAGCCAUGAUGUGCUCUUCAUGUUGGAUUCCAUGCUCAUGACAUUAGAUGAUACAAGUGUGGCAUUGCGUGCCAAUGCCAACGACAAUGGUGUGUGGGAGGAGAAGUUCAAGGCAGCGAUGGUAAGGAUGGGUGCUAUCGAAGUCAAGACCAGUGCCAAUGGUGAGAUCAGGAAAAAUGUGGCGCCGUCAACUCAUACUAAUCCUACUGACCCGUUCACUUCAUCGCAAGUUUUUAACUACUUGAGAUUGAGAAUAAGCUCACAACUUCCUCAUGUGCCCAUUGAUGUUAAUUUUGAUUACCUCGUGUAA